AACACUCAACAGCAUAGACAACAACCAACACUCUCCGACACUAACCCUAGAUUUCUCUUCGCGACUUCUCCUUCGCCAUUCCGCCUCCGCCAUCGCCAGUCGCCUAUACCGCCACCGCCUACGCCUACGCCUAUACCGCCACCGCCUAUUCCGCCUCCGCCUAUUCCGCCUCCGCCUAUUCCGCCUCCGCCUCCGCCUGAAAAAUUGUUUUUGCAGCUCCUUCUCGGCCCCUUGUUAUGCAACAGAUUGAGGCAUGCCACAACAUUGUAGACAUACCACAGGAAUAUACAAUUGAUCUGACCGGUCAAACAAAUCCUACUAGAAGAGCAAGCUUUUGGAAAGAAAAGCGAGAUUUCUUUGUUACUCCACAAGUGCUGGAGAAGGACAUCCUUUCUGGUACAUGUAUGGUGAACAUCUUGUUUGCUUGGUGAUUGAUGAAGCUCAUCGUGCUACUGGAAAUUACUCUUAUUGUGUAGUGGUUCAUGAGAUCUUGUGGAUGGAAAAGUUUGUCUAGAAGGGAACUGAAAUUAUUGCUCCUGUUCCAAUGGCUCCACCGGGAACUACAGGGCUAGGAGGCUUUGAAGUUCCAUCAUCUAAAGGAGUUCUUUGGUCUGAUGCAAGCAAAUUAAAUGUUGGUGUCCUUCAUCUUGUCCCAAGCUUGGAGGUUUUUCCAAUCUUGGCAAACCCCAAAAUUGAGUGGAAGAAGAAUGCUAUCUGGCACUCUGUAUCUAGUUCUGGUUGAACAAACACUUGUCGACUUCUAACUGUAUCCAAAGUGCUCAUAUUAUAUGAUUUCUUUUUCUAUCUUGCUUACUAUGAACUAAGAUUUUCUUAAGAUAUGAACCUAACACUUUAGACCUGUCCGAUCUUAAUGAGCUAGAGUAACUGGUUGACUGUAUUAUCUGAACAUCUGCCAGACCUUGUUGAUAAGGCAGUGGCUAGUGAGGGUGGCACUGAAGAUG